AGUUCGAUUAUGGCUCAGAUUGAACGCUGGCGGGAUGCUUUACACAUGCAAGUCGAACGGCAGCACGGACUUCAGUCUGGUGGCGAGUGGCGAACGGGUGAGUAAUGUAUCGGAACGUGCCUAGUAGCGGGGGAUAACUACGCGAAAGCGUAGCUAAUACCGCAUACGCCCUUCGGGAAAGCGGGGGACCUUCGGGCCUCACCACUAUUAGAGCAACCGAUAUCGGAUUAGCUAGUUGGUGGGGCUAACGGCUCACCAAGGCGACGAUCCGUAGCGCUGGUUUGAGAGGACGACAGCCACACUGGGACUGAGACGACCCAGACUCCUACGAAGGAGAGCAGCAGUGGGGAAUUUUGGACAAUGGAAACCUGAUCAGCCAUCCCGCGUGUUGCGAUGAAGGCCUUCGGGUUGUAAAGCACUUUUGGCAGAAGAAACGGCACGGGAUAAUACCCCGUGCAACUGACUGAUCACCUGCAGGAAUAAGCACUGGCUAACUACGUGCCAGCAGCGCGGUAAUACGUAGGGUGCAAGCGUUAAUCAGGAAUUACUGGGCGUAAAGCGUGCGCAGGCGGUUCGGAAAGAAGAUGUGAAAUCCCAGAAAACAACUUUGGAACUGCAUUUUUAACUACCGAGCUAGAGAGUGUGUCAGAGGAGGUGGAAUUCACGUGUAGCAGUGAAAUACGUAGAUAUGCGGAGGAACACCGAUGGCGAAGGCAACCUCCUGGGAUAACACUGACGCUCAUGCGAAAGCGUGGGGAGCGACAGGAUUAGAUACCCCUGGUAGUCCACGCCCUAAACGUGUCAACUAGCUGUUGGGGCCUUCCGGGCAGCGGUAGCGCAGCUAACGCGUGAGUUGACCGCCUGGGAAGUACACGGUCGCAGAUUAAACUCAAAGGAAUUGACCCGGGGACCCGCACAAGCGGUGGAUGAUGUGGAUUAAUUCGAUGCAGCGCGAAAAACCUUACCCUUGACAUGUCUGGAAUCCCGAAGAGAUUUAGGGUGCUCGCAAGAACCGGAACACAGGUGCUGCAUGGCUGUCGUCAGCUCGUGUCGUGAGAUGUUGGGUUAAGAUCCCGCAACGAGCGCAACCAUAUGUUAGUUGCUACGAAGAGCACUCAUGAGACUGCCGGUGACAAACCGGAGGAAGGUGGGGAUGACGUCAAGUCCUCAUGGCCCUUAUGGUGGGGCUUCACACGUCAUACAAUGGUCGGGACAGAGGGUCGCCAACCCACGAGGAGGCCAAUCAGAAGCUUGAUCGUAGUCCGGAUCACCCCAGUCUGCAACUCGACUGCGUGAAGUCGGAAUCGCUGAAAAUAAUCGCGGAUCAGCAUGUCGCGGUGAAUACGUUCCGGGUCUUGCACCACACCCCACUUCCCGUCACGCAUGGGAGUGGGUUUACCAAGUAGUUAGCCUAACCGUAGAGGAGGCGAUUACCACGGUAGGAUUCAUGACUGGGGUGAUCGUAACAAGGUAA
rnacentral:rRNA from 1 species